AUACAGUAGAACUCCGUUUAUCCGACAUAGUAGAUGUCAGGAACGUUGCUCCUAUUAUCCGCUUCUAGUAUACGCGACAUACCGAUUACACGACAUACAGUAGAUUCUUUGCAAUUGCCAAAUUUCGGAUUGCUGCGAAUUUCACUGUGCUAGUCCUAUGUCUAUGUAAUUUGUUGCUUCGUCAAUGAAGUCGGUCAAGCGUGCGAUGCGGCACGCGACGCGAUUCCUGGAAGACAGCACAAAAUGGUCAGAUGCUCAGUGGCCACAAUCAAACGGGUACUUUUUGCCGUGAUGGUACAUACAGCUAAGUACACAAUGUGUAUAAAAUAAUAACACCGCGUACGCGUUUUACACUAAGCAAUAAUGGUGUACAACGAUUUAUAUGUAGUUCCAGGGAUGCCCAGUUUUUCGUGACGCUAUUAUAGUAACGAAGACGAUUAUUGAUCGUAACAAGUCCCAGAAUUUUUUGCGUUAUUACCUGCAAAUUAUGCGUAAUUCUGGCAGAAAGUGAUGCGAGCAAGAAUCAAAUAAGAACCUUGGAAGAUAAAUUGGCUGGUGAACCAGAAACCUGAAUAUCUCCGGAACCGGUUAGCUUCCGAACAUACGUUGGAAUAUUUCUGUACCUUUUAAUGAGGUCUUUCAACCUGGUACUUUGUUUAGUCAUCUCAUUUGCCAUACUUAUAUAGAAACCUAUUACGCUCAUUUUUAUUCGUUCACGCUCGCUUCUAAAUAAUCAAUGCAUAAUCAGAGCACAAUCUGCGACUAGAAAUAAAACCGCGAAGCUCCCU